AGGGCAUUAUCAUUUUCACAAUUUCACAGAAUUAUUCCAACAGUGUGGAAACAUAAAACACAUAAAUAACACAGUAAAAUCACGUUCCGACUGCAAUGGGCCUUUAUAGACUGCCACCUUUUUCUUAUUUUCUCAAAGCAAUUACUGGAAGUCGUUUCGACUUCUCAACCCUUGAGUGCACACUUGGCCUGAACUGGGGUGAGGCUGUGACACACUGAGGGCAUUGUCAUAAUUAAUUAUAGUGCUGAUAAUUCAGAUUACUGAUUUGCCCCCUCUUUCUACACACCCAGCUCAUUAUUACUCUGUCUUGCUCAUCAGAUGCAUGCAUCAAUGCCCUCUCCUGCAGGCUGUAGGGCAACACCCUCAUAAAUGAAUAAAAACAGAGUAGACUAAAAGCAUUAUUGUUUACUUCAAACAUCCCUUCCUGCGGUUGUUUAACUGGUGAUUGUAUCUCAUUGUUGACUUUUGGAAUUCUGCCUUUGUUUCCUACAACUAUAGAUGAGUUUAAAUCAGGCAACAUCAGCACAGACCUGCGGUGGUGUGUCUUCACCAGGAGGGGGAGUCCCUACUUUACACAGACUCAGGUAUGCCAGGUGUCACUCAGAGCCUGUUCAGCCCAAGUGGCAGAGAGAGGUAGACGGAGCUCAGACACAGAUACUUUGAGGGUUUUCCCUGAGAGUUAUAUUUCCAAGGAUUCACUCACCUUCCAAGACAAGGGGGAGUACAUUUCUGCCUAUAAACAAAGUAAAAACAAUGCAUGAUGCGCAAUCACCACCCACUUGGGUACCAGAAACCAUACAGAGGACCUCCGCGCGCCACACCUUCCUACUGCUUAUCCAUGAGCAAAAGAUACACCGCCGACCCUCCCCACCGCAAAGCAGCUGAAGGCCUGUCAUCGGAACCUCAUAGCAUCUGGCUCGGAGGAUCAUCGUCCUUUCCCAAACUAUUUUAAUAAACGUU